UCUAUCGGCGUGGUAAACUUUUUCGAAUAUGAUAGUACUAAUAGUUUCACAUUUGUUUCAGGUGGACGUGUCCGAUUUUCGGAAUCAAUUUUCUUAAGUGUUUGAGAAGAAAAUGUGGAAAAAUGCUGGUUUUCUUUGUAGGUCUCUUUUAAUCAAGUGAAAGAGUAAGUUCUAAUGAAACCUUUUUUUUGUUACAGGAAAAAGCUACGAUUUUUAAAAGAAUCGAAAGGAUUAACUAAAAGCAACAUCAGAAGUAGAACGGAAUCGGAAAACGAAUUGAAAAAGGAGAAAAUUGACGUUUGCUGACAAGUCAUUUGCAUAAAGUGUUGUUUUAAUACUAGAAAAGACGAAUUAACAUCGACACCUAAUUGGUAGACUGUUACUAAAGUGCUACUAAACUUUUACAAACUGGACAAGAAGUUAUUCUGCUACGCUAUUUACAGAAAGUGUUUUUGUUGAAAUUUAGGAAAGACAAUUGAAACCCAACGCUUCAAAAUUGUUGGAAGCUUUUACAAAAGCACUAGUAAAAACUUGACAAACUUGAUGUUAGUUUGGCAGAAUUUUACUAGUUAGUCAUCUAUGGAUCUAUCUUCAGAAAGAUCUAUGAAUGCAAUUUUCCCAAUGGAGGGUUUCUUUGAAAGCUAGAAAGGACAAUUUGAAUUCGACUCUACAAAUACUUCGGACAUUCCGCGAGGAGUAACAACAAUCGCACUCUAGAAAUAAUUCCGAAGCAAUUGCAUGUUUUCAGUAGUUAAUAGUACACCUUCGCCGUUUGUCAAAAAAGAGGACAAAACGUCCGGUCGUCGGGUGGUAGCUGAAGAGCGCCGCAGCCGGAAGCGGCUGCACCGGAUUUUCGUCUGAAUGAAACGUGAAGGCCUCGAUUCCGUUAAUAAAAAAUGUUUUUGACUCACGAAAUCCAUUUAAUUCUCCUGAAAAGCAAAAAUAAGAUCAAAA